UACGAGAGGCUCAAACGUUAUUCGGAAUCACUGGGCUUAAAGAGUUCGUAGGCGGUCUAGAAAGUUGGGUGUGAAAGCCCUCGGCCUAACCGAGGAACUGCGCUCAAAACUACUAGACUUGAGGAAGAUAGAGGUAAGCGGAACUGAUGGUGGAGCGGUGAAAUGCGUUGAUAUCAUCAGGAACACCGGAGGCGAAGGCGGCUUACUGGGUCUUUUCUGACGCUGAGGAACGAAAGCUAGGGGAGCAAACGGG
rnacentral:rRNA from 1 species